UGGGGGGGCAUCAUUUAUACAGAAAUAUCUACAGAAUAUGAUUUAGUCAAGCCAUUAUUUUCUAUAUUUUUGUCAUAAUACACAUACAUACAAAUGGAAGAUUGGACAUAAUGAAAUUAUCAGCACUCAAAGUAGAUAAAUAAUAUAAUCAUUUCUGGAAAAAUAUGUUCAGCACCUGUAAUGAACUGAGAGAUCCACACAGAUAUGGCAUCGUUUUCCCUUCAAUUUGUUUUCGCUAGAGGAUAUGAAGUGUUUUCUAGCACCACCUACUGUUGUUUCAAAAUAUUAAACUACCUUGCUUUAAAAGGAUUAUGAAUAAAGUAACAUUCAUAGGGGCUUGUUUACUCUAAAAUUAUAUUAUGAACAGAAAGAACACUCCCACCCCUCUAUUCUUCAGGAACAAGAUGCACUUUUAAAGUAGAACACGUCUGCUGUCUUAGAAAACAGGUGGUUUUGGUCCUCAUUACUAAGCCUUAGUACUAUUUGCAAAUGAUUAACUUGAAGGAAAUAAGUUGCAAACAAAUUAAUCAUCAAUAAGAGCAGAGUAUUUUUUAUUUUAUUUUUUUGCUAAGGAUGGCAGUCAAUAGUAACUGGAGGGGAGCUACUAACCUCAGUGGGAACAUCAAGUGAUUGCUUGCAUGUAUGACUGAGCUGCCACAAAUGUUAAUUCCAAGUUAGAACCAUCACCCAACAUCACCUGAAAUACGACACUCUUCAAUGCAGUCAAGUGAUGUACAUACUUGGAUAUACCAUCUAAUUUGCGCACUCUUUUAAAAUUCCAUGAACAUUGUCUACGUGCAUAUACAAGUCAGUGUUCUAGGUCUGUCAGCAUUCCCUCUUGCAUGACAGAUGUCCUCAGAUGACAGUAACCCUGCCUCUAAGUAUGCAUAUUUUCUAUUACAAAAAUAUCUGAUUUACCACUUUCAUGUACAUGCAGACAGCCGCCAAGAGGAAUUACUGUCAUUUUUCUAAACAAAGAAUAAUGUGGGUUGCCUCACAGAUAGAUGUCAACUUGUUAACAACCAACACUGUGAUUUUGACACUGGGUAAAGGUUGUUGCUCUUCAGGAAAUGGAAUUGAAAACUUGCUGGGGCAUACUAAGAUUUUGAACCCAAAUCUGUGAGUAACCUCCUCAUUUAGAACAGAUAUUGGGACUGGCUGCCAAGCUGACCUGUGUCUAAAAACCACGUAGCACUUGAAUUUAAAAGCCUAGAAAGAGAAGAAUAAGAUACGAAACCCAAGUCAUUCUGUUAACAGAAGAUGGAAUCUUAAAUUCUGAUGGAAGGAACAGCUUUGUCCUUUCAAGAAUGCUGCCGAUAUCUUUGUCUCAAAAUGAAGAGAGCUCGUUCUUUUAUCUCUAACACUUUCUGUGAAUUGUGCCAUGGUCAUUUCAGACUCUGCUUUUUAAGAGGCUCCUAUGAGGCUAGAAAGAUUGGACAACCGACUUAGCAUCUCAGUCCUGGUUAUGGCCCAUCUGCGCUCUUCAUGUAUCAUGCCACUUAACAGUCAUGGCUUCCCCCAAAUAAUUCGGUGACCUGAAGUUUGUUAAGGGUGCUGAGAGUUGUUAUGAGUCUCCUAUUUUUCUCCCAGGGUUACAACUGCCGGAGCUCCCUGGAAGGAGGGACUGAUUGUUAAACUACUCUGAGAAUGAGCUCUGUGAGAACAGGGAUUUCUUUACAACUUUUGAGCACCCUUAAAAAACCUAGUGUUUCCAUGAGUCUUAAGGGGGUAAAUCAUGAUGGUUCAAAGUGGCAUGAUGAUGAUGCUUUAAAGGUAUGGUGCAGAAGGGGGGGUCUGUCUAUAAAGCUUCAUGGGGUUCAAGGGGAGGUUAAUCCCAGAAAAGUGCAAAGGUCUGCAGCCAAAGGACUGGGUUACUCUUAAAUAUACUUUCUUUCUUGAACAGGCUUUGAAAAGGAAGAAAAGUAAUGUGCAGUUUAUUUGGAACAUCAGAAAUGCAUUAGAUAGUGGUAACAUCACUUUAUUUUUUCUAAUUUCUUUAUUUUCAUAUUGAAGCAAUUUCCUAUAUAUAUUUUCCCUGUUCAUAGCAUGCACUAAUCCUUGUAUUACCAUUGUCUGACGAAAACUCCCUUAUUUAAUUAGUUUAAAUUAUCAGGAAUUAAAGACCAAUUAAGACGUCAUGUUGCGUACUGGGGACAUACAAUGCUGCAAAACAUGUGCCAUUCCUAGAGCAAGUUUUCUCCAGAUACUGCUUGAUAAUAUUUCAUGCAUAUGAAGACUCAGGCCCAUGAAAGCUUCUAUGCCAUAACAAAUUUGUUAGCCUUUAAGGCGCUACAAAACUCUGUUGUUUUUUUUAUUACUAACCCCUUCUAUAAAUGGCUGAAUCACCAUUAUUAUCAUUUGGACGGUUUGCUGCAGGUAGCCCUGAAGAGGUCUCUAAUUAAGCCUUCUGAAUAUUCAAAAAAAAGGUGGCCUAAUAUGCUGACCUAAAUACCUCUGAUGGUAAAAGAAUAGCAUUAAGUAUGCCUGCUUCCUCUGGGUGGUCUAAGCUACUUCUACUGCACAGAAAAGUACGGUAGGUAAGCAGAAAACUAUGGCAGUGGUAAAGUAAACUCAAUAUUGAUAGAGUCGUGCAUACUCCACAAUUCAGUGCAAACACAAAGUACAGUGCUGGCCAUGAAGAUGCUCUGGUCAUGGUAAUAAUGAUUGGCUUGCCCAUAUAAAAUAGCAAAUUCAACUGUCUGUGACAAAGAUUUGGAUCAGGAGGAAGAGGUGGUUAACUGUUUUAGGGGUGGGGACUGCAACCCAGGAAGAUAAAAUCUUAUUUUUUAAAGAAUGUGUUUGUGGGAGGGGGGUUUUGUUUGUUUUUUUGGGUUAUGUCUUUUGUGUUUUUAUGUUGUGAACUGCCCUGAGAUAUUUGAAUGAAGGGCAGUAUAACAUUUAUUAUUAUUUUUUAUUUCCUUCUCAUGCUAACCCUUUGCUCCCACAGCACUGCUAUUUCUCACCUGAAUCUUCCCUGGCUACUUUUGUCAAUUACAGAUCUCCCCUCAUCUUGUCAAGUUGCCCUCACAGCAUUUGCAAAUUGCAUCUAUGAAAGAAUGGCAAAGAUACAAUCAAAUUAAAUUGCUCUCCAAUAAUUCUACCUUCAAAGUGAUCUUAAAAUGCAAAGGGCUGAUUCAAAUUGGUAGUCUGUCUGAACACUUCCUUUAGAAAAUACCUUGAGACAUACUCUAACAAUUUGGGGUGUGCAGUCUCCCGGUUGUACAAAGUACAGAAGUUGUUCAUGCAGCAGUUACUAUCCUGUUUGUUGGCAUAUUCUGCACAGAGCACUCGCUCAAUACAAAAAGCUGUUUUUCAUUUUGCAUGCCAAUGAAAACAGAUGGCUUUGUGGCAAACCUCUUAAGUGUUGUAGCCAUCUAUGUUUUACUCAGUGUAGUCCCACUGCAAUUAAUGGUGCAAAGUCAUCCAUUAAUUUCAAUGGGUCUGCUCUGAAUAUAGCUCAC
rnacentral:lncRNA from 1 species